GGUCCAAUGGUCUAAUGGUUAGGACAUGGGAUUUUGAUUCCCGUAAUCCAGGUUCGAUUCCUGGUUGGACCU